UACGGGGGGGGCAAGCGUUGUUCGGAAUUACUGGGCGUAAAGGGCUCGUAGGCGGCCAACUAAGUCAGACGUGAAAUCCCUCGGCUUAACCGGGGAACUGCGUCUGAUACUGGAUGGCUUGAGAUUGGGAGAGGGAUGCGGAAUUCCAGGUGUAGCGGUGAAAUGCGUAGAUAUCUGGAGGAACACCGGUGGCGAAGGCGGCAUCCUG
rnacentral:rRNA from 1 species